rnacentral:rRNA from 1 species
CAGCAGCCGCGGUAAUACGGAGGGCGCGAGCGUUGUCCGGAUUCACUGGGCGUAAAGCGGGUGUAGGCGGUCGGGUAAGUCGGACGUGAAAGCCCGGGGCUCAACCCCGGAAGGGCGUCCGAAACUGCUCGACUUGAGGGCGGGAGAGGGAGGUGGUAUUCCCGGAGUAGGGGUGAAAUCCUAUAAUCCCGGGAGGACCACCUGUGGCGAAGGCGCUCGGCUGGAACGCGUCCGACGGUGAGGGACGAAGGCCAGGGGAGCAAACCGGAUUAGAUACCCGGGUAGUCCUGGCUGUAAACGGUGGGCACUAGGUGUGGGGGGUUAAUCCCUCCGUGCCGAAGCUAACGCAUUAAGUGCCCCGCCUGGGGAGUACGGCCGCAAGGUUGAAACUUAAAGGAAUUGGCGGG